CCUGUCACUCGUCCUCUGGUGUUUAAUAACAGUGAUAUGACCCUGUCUCUUGUCCUCCUGGUGUUUUCAUUCAUUCAUUGCUAAUGGUAUUAGAACAGUAAAACAGUAGAACAGUAGAGAACUGUAGAGAACCGUAGAACAGUAGAGAACAGGAGAAUAGUAGUACAGUAGAACAGUAGUACAGUAGUACAGUACAACAGUAGAGAACAGUAGUACAGUAGAACAGUAGAGAAAAGUAGUACAGUAGAACAGUAGAACGGUAGAACAGUAGAACAGUAGAACAGUAGAGAACAGUAGAACAGUAGUACAGUAGAACAGUAGUACUGUAGAACAGUAGAGAACAGUAGAACAGUAGAGAACAGUAGAACAGUAGAGAACAGUAGAACAGUAGAACAGUAGAACAGUAGAGAACAGUAGUGCAGUAGAACAGUAGAACAGUAGAGAACAGUAGAGCAGUAGUAUAUAGUACUGUAGAACAGUAGAGAACAGUAGAACAGUAGAGAACAGUAGAACAGUAGAACAGUAGAACAGUAGAGAACAGUAGUGCAGUAGAACAGUAGAACAGUAGAGAACAGUAGAGCAGUAGUAUAGUAGAACAGUAGAUCAGUAGUACAGCAGAACAUUAGAACAGUAGAGAACAGUAGAACAGUAGAACAGUAGUACCGUAGAACAGUAGUACAGCAGAACAGCAGUACAGUAGUACAGUAGAACAGUAGAGAACAGUAGACAACAGUAGAAGAGUAGAACGGUAGAACAGUAGUACAGUAGUACAGUAGAACAGCAGAACGGUAGUACAGUAGAACAGCAGAACAGCAGUACAGUAGUACAGUAGAACAGUAGAACAGCAGAACAGCAGUACAGUAGUACAGUAGAACAGUAGAGAACAGUAGAACAGUAGUACAGUAGAACAGUAGAGAACAGUAGAACAGUAGAACAGUAGAACAGUAGAGAACAGUAGUACAGUAGAACAGUAGAGAACAGUAGAACAGUAGUACAGUAGAGCAGUAGAGAACAGUAGUACAGUAGAACAGUAGUACUGUAGAAUAGUAGAGAACAGUAGAACAGUGGAGAACAGUAGAACAGUAGAACAGUAAUACAGUAUUACAGUGAGAACAAUAGAACAGUAGUAUAUUAGAACAGUAGUACAGUAGAAGAGUAGAGAACAGUAGAACAGUAGAUCAGUAGAACAGUAGAAUAGUAGAACAGUGGAACAGUAGAACAGUAGAGAACAGUAGAAUAGUAGAACAGUGGAACAGUAGAACAGUAGAGAACAGUAGAAAACAGUUGUACUGUAGAACAGCAGAACAGCAGAACAGUAGUAUAGUUGAACAGUAGAGAACAGUAGAACAGUAUAACAGCAGAACAGUAGAACAGUAGUACAGUAGAACAGUAGAGAACAGUAGAGAACAGUAGAACAGCAGAACAGUAGAACAGUAGUACUGUAGUACAGUAGAGAACAGUAGUACAGCAGAACAGCAGUACAGUAGUACAGUAGAACAGUAGAGAACAAUGGAACAGUAGUAUAUUAGAACAGUAGUACAGUAGAACAGUAGAGAACAGUAGACAACAGUAGAAAACAGUAGAACAGUAGAACAGUAGAACAGCAGUACAGUAAUACAGUAGAACAGUAGAACAGCAGAACAGCAGUACAGUAGUACAGUAGUACAGUAGAACAGUAGAGAACAGUAGAACAGUAGUACAGUAGAACAGUAGAGAACAGUAGAACAGUAGAACAGUAGAACAGUAGAGAACAGUAGAACAGUAGUACAGUAGAACAGUAGAGAACAGUAGAACAGUAGUACAGUAGAACAGUAGAGAACACUAGUACUGUAGAACAGUAGUACUGUAGAAUAGUAGAGAACAGUAGAACAGUGGAGAACAGUAGAACAGUAGAACAGUAAUACAGUAGUACAGUGAGAACAAUAGAACAGUAGUAUAUUAGAACAGUAGUACAGUAGAAGAGUAGAGAACAGUAGAACAGUAGAUCAGUAGAACAGUAGAAUAGUAGAACAGUGGAACAGUGGAACAGUAGAGAACAGUAGAAUAGUAGAACAGUGGAACAGUAGAACAGUAGCGAACAGUAGAAAACAGUUGUACAGUAGAACAGCAGAACAGCAGUACAGUAGAACAGUAGUACAGUUGAACAGUAGAGAACAGUAGAACAGCAGAACAGUAGAACAGUAGUACAGUAGAACAGUAGAACAGUAGAGAACAGUAGAACAGCAGAACAGUAGAACAGUAGUACUGUAGUACAGUAGAGAACAGUAGUACAGCAGAACAGCAGUACAGUAGUACAGUAGAACAGUAGAGAACAAUGGAACAGUAGUAUAUUAGAACAGUAGAACAGUAGACAACAGUAGAAAACAGUAGAACAGUAGUACAGCAGAACAGUAGAACGGUAGAACGGUAGUAAAGUAGAGAACAGUAGAACAGUAGAGAACAGUGGAGAACAGUAGAACAGUAGUACAGUAGACCAGUAGAGAACAGUAGAACAGUAGAGAACAGUAGAGAACAGUAGAACAGUAGUACAGUAGAACAGUAGAAAACAGUAGAACAGUAGAGAACAGUAGAGAACAGUAGAACAGUAGUACAGUAGAACAGUAGAGAACAGUAGAACAUUAGUACAGUAGAACAGUAGAGAACAGUAGUACAGUAGAACAGUAGUACUGUAGAAUAGUAGAGAACAGUAGAACAGUGGAGAACAGUAGAACAGUAGAACAGUAAUACAGUAGUAUAGUAGAACAGUGAGAACAAUAGAACAGUAGUAUAUUAGAACAGUAGUACAGUAGAACAGUAGAGAACAGUAGAUCAGUAGAACAGUAGAGGACAGUAGAACAGUAGAUCAGUAGAUCAGUAGAACAGUAGAGAACAGUAGAACAGUAGAUCAGUAGAACAGUGGAACAGUAGAACAGUAGAGAACAGUAGAAAACAGUUGUACAGUAGAACAGCAGUACAGUAGAACAGUAGUACAGUUGAACAGUAGAGAACAGUAGAACAGUAGAACAGCAGAACAGUAGAACAGUAGUACAGUAGAACAGUAGAACAGUAGAGAACAGUAGAACAGUAGAACAGUAGUACUGUAGUACAGUAGAGAACAGUAGUACAGCAGAACAGCAGUACAGUAGUACAGUAGAACAGUAGAACAGUAGAGAACAAUAGAACAGUAGUAUAUUAGAACAGUAGUACAGUAGAACAGUAGAGAACAGUAGACAACAGUAGAAAACAGUAGAACAGUAGUACAGCAGAACAGUAGAACGGUAGAACGGUAGUACAGUAGUACAGUAGAACGGCAGAACCGUAGUACAGUAGAGAACAGUAGAACAGUAGAGAACAGUAGAACAGCAGAACAGCAGUACAGUAGUACAGUAGAACAGUAGAACAGUAGAGAACCGUAGAACAGCAGAACAGCAGUACAGUAGUACAGUAAAACAGUAGAACAGUAGAGAACAGUAGAGAACAGUAGAACAGUAGAACAGUAGAGAACAGUAGAGAACAGUAGAACAGUAGAGAACAGUAGUACAGUAGAACAGUAGUACUGUAGAAUAGUAGAGAACAGUAGAACAGUGGAGAACAGUAGAACAGUAGAACAGUAAAACAGUGAGAACAAUAGAACAGUAGUAUAUUAGAACAGUAGUACAGUAGAACAGUAGAGAACAGUAGACAACAGUAGAAAACAGUAGUACAGCAGAACAGUAGAACAGUAGUACAGUAGAGAACAGUAGAGAACAGUAGUACCGUAGAUCAGUAGAACAGUAGAGAACAGUAGAACAUUAGAUCAGUAGAUCAGUAGAACAGUAGAGAACAGUAGACCAGUAAACAGUAGAGAACAGUAGACCAGUAAACAGUAGAACAGUAGACCAGUAGAGAAUAGUAGAACAGUAAAACAGUAGAACAGUAGAGAACAGUAGAACAGUAGAACAGUAGAGAACAGUAGAACAGUAGACCAGUAGAGAACAGUAGAACAGUAGACCAGUAGAGAACAUUAGAACAGUAGAACAGUAGAGAACAGUAGAACAGUAGAGAACAGUAGAACAGUAAACAGUAGAACAGUAGACCAGUAGAGAACAGUAGAACAGUAGAACAGUAGAGAACAGUAGAGAACAGUAGAACAGUAGAACAGUAGAGAACAGUAGAACAGUAGAGAACGGUAGAACAGUAGAGAACAGUCUUCAGUCUGUUGGCUUGUCAUCAUCAUCAUCCCUCCCCAGUGACCUCCAGGUCUAUUUCUACGGAGACUGAGUGUACGUCCCAAAUGGCACCCUAUUCCCUAUUUAGUGCAUUCCUUUUGACCAUGGUCCAUAGGGCUCUGGUCAAAUGUAAUGCACUAUAUAGAGAAUAGGGUGCCAUUUGGGACACGUAGAGGUAAUUCUAUAGGGAGCAUCUGACCUCCCAUUGGCCCUGCACUCUAGGCCCUGCACAUACUUAAUUGACCAGGAGGACACUGUGUGUGUGUGGGUGGGGGGGUGUUUAGCUAAAUAUAUUUGACCUAAACCCCCCCUUUAAAAAAAAGUUCCCCUCCCCUAUACCAAAAAUUAUUAUUUAAUCAAAGUG
rnacentral:lncRNA from 1 species